GGCUGAAAUUCGCCUUCAUGAAGCCGGAAUUGCUAGUAAUGGCAGGUCAGCAUACUGCCGUGAAUACGUUCCCGGGCCCUUGUACACACCGCCCGUCACACCAUGAGAGUCGAUAACACCCGAAGCCUGUGAGCUAACCUUAGGGAGGCAGCAGUCGAAGGUGGGGUUGAUGAUUAGGGUGAAGUCGUAACAAGGUAUC
rnacentral:rRNA from 1 species